rnacentral:lncRNA from 10 species
GGAUGCUCUGGCUGACUAACGUUCUCUUUUCGGAUUCAAUUGGACAUGGUUCUCCAGUGCUUCUUGGCUCUAAUUACGGCGGAAUGUGCCUACAUUAAUGAGAGAAGAUCUUGUGAGAAUUGAAGGAAAAUAGAAAAAAAAUAUUGCAGUUGCAAGAGAAGAAUGAUGCCUGCUCCGUGGGAAUAGUCAAGCCAUGAAAAACCAGCCACCUCAUUUCUUCCCCAGAAGACCAUAAGCACAUGGCAUCUCACUUUGAGGGGCAAAUUCUGAGUUUGGCACUUUAUUUAUAUUUUAUUAAUGUAAACAAUAACAAAACACGUUCAAUCACAAGCACUCUACUCAGCCAGCUUUAUGUCUACCUCUGAAUCGAGGCACUUCUGAGAUGCUUCUCAGUGUUAGGGAAUGCUGGCCUGGAAGGCUUAGGAGCCAACUGGCAAGCUCAUUAGAGGACCAAGAAUUGCAUCAUAAAACAGUGGGACCAAAUGUGUGGGCAGUUAUUUUAAAACAUUAUAAAAACCCACCACUGUGUAUUUUUCUAUGAAUUGUUGACAAAUGUGCUUAGUAAUAGGAUAAGUGAAGAAAAAUGAAUGAAUUAGUUGAGAUUUACUUACAUUUUAACAUUAAUAAUAAAAUACAUGAUGUUAGAUGAAUAAAAUAAUCAAUAUAGACACCUUUAUAUAGACAUCCUUAUCCCAGAACUCUUUGUAAAGGACAUGUAAUGAUCAUAACCAUAACAGCAGCAGCAACUCAACAACAAGAGUGGCCCCACAGGUUCAUGGAGAACGUGGGCCACACAGACACUAUGCUUGACCCAUGAACGCGAUUGCAUUCAACCUCUCCUUAGGAGAGACUUGGCUACCAGAUCACGGAACUGUUAAAGAUGUAGAGGCCCCCUGGAUGGGGUCAACUGGAUGUGUCAUUUUUCUGUUUAAUUUCUAGGAUGGAGUCCUAAUGCCUUUGAAAUAAGACGUAAUUAUGUGAACAUCAUAUAAGAAAUUUAUACCUAUGAUGACGUCUUACUCUAUGUGUCUAAGACAAAAAAAUUAUGUCUGCUCUUAUUCUUCCUACCACAUAGCUCUGUGUUUAUUGCUUCCUGAAAAUUAAUGUUUUUAUUGAUCACUCUUAAAAAAAAAAAAACAGGGUGAGAGGAAACUACUAAGUUGAUUAAACUGGUAACCAGUUCUGCGAUUUCUUCACCAGCCUGCUUUAUCAUGAUGAUAAGACUUUGGUCUUAUUUUCCAAAUAUCUGUAAUGCCUCAAAAUGAACCAAUGAUGUUUUAACCCAAUAACUCAGCUUUUUUUUUCUUAAAGAAUCUUGCUGAGUCACUUUCCUAAUACCAUUCUCCAGUCAUGGAAGUCAGCCAGCUUUGUAAUACUGUCUUACAGAUGCUCUUCAACUUUUAUUGGUCACGAUUUGUUUCCCUAAGAUUUGUAUGCCUUUCAAAUCUUCAAAGUUAGUGAAGCUUUCUUCAGCCAGGAUUCAUCUGUUUAUAGAGCAGAGUGGGUGGCUUUUGGAAAAUACUUGACAUGUUAUAAUAUUGGGCUGAGGAGUCACACGCCACUAUCCAAGUUGUCAUUGAAUGUGCAUUUCCUCUUGGGAAUGGAGUCCUUAAAACUUUGAGUCCUUUACCAAUAGCAAAAAUUAGCAUCCCUUAACAUUUUCACCUGCCUUAACAUUGUGGCCUCUGUUCUGCAGACUUCAGCUAUUAAGUCAGUUUAUUUUUCCCCGACAUUAUAAGCUACACGCUUCCCACUCACUUCUAUCCUGUCUAGCAAACACACUAGUCUUUUCGGUUACUACUUUAAAUCACAAUGAAAACUAUGGUUGUGUAUUCACAUGCAACUAUGGCGUGUGAGUUGAUCCCAUCCUCUGAGCCCAAUCUGUGUGAAGGAAAAUGUUUCUCAUUAGGAAACCACUUCGUUGUGAUCCUUUGGAACCAUUUCUAGCUUGUACAAAUUAUUCAAAAUAGACAUCUUUCCUUUCCCUGGACUCCACCCCGGCCUUGUCUAGCUUUCUGGUGCUUCCAGAAGUUAAACAAGCAGAUGUUAUAAACAAAAACAAACAAACAAACAAAAAGCAAAACAAACAAAAAAAUAAAAAAUAAAAAACAUGAAAGACAAAAACAAAAAGAAAACCACUACCAUGAAUAAAUUUCAUCUUCUGUGCAUUUCUGUUAAAAUUUAUAAAUUUUAUAUUCUCCAUUAAAUCUGUGAAGAUAAUACCCAACUAUGUAAACACAUUGAUAUUCGUGGAUUUUAAAGAAAAUUCUAACAGUACUGACUACUUAAAGUACAGACUUAAAACUGUAAAAUUAUCCUGACACUUGAGGCUAAAGAACAUCUUAGUAAGUGAUUUGCUGUGUCUGUUAACAUUUUGUGAAAAUUUGUAGAUGUGUACACUAUGUUUGGGUUUGAAGCACUUUCUCACCUCUAACUUUUUUCCUUCUUCACCCCCUUAAUCACAGACACAGGAAUGCAGCUGCCCUGUGUGUGUCUCCUUCAUCCUGCUGGGGACAGGCACGGGCAAGGAGAGCUCAGGGGUAACACACGGGCAUAAUUGGGGUCUGAUGAAAUAGGCUAAUCAUGGAUCCACUAAGCAAAUAUUAAUUUUCAUUGGAAGCCCUGCCAUUUUGUGAACUUAUAAGAAAUAAACAGAAGUAUUGUUAGCCUCAGGAUGUAUCUCUUUUCUUUAAGAAAAAAGAAACCCAUUGAUAAAUGUCUCUGAAAGGCUAACUCUCACCACUUCAUGCUCUUCUAAUGCUUCUGCACUGUCCUAUGUGAGGCUUGAGUGAUGUGGGUGUGCCACUGAAGGGCCGUGGGUAGGAGCGGUGUGUUUUCUGAACACCUGUUACACCUUUAUUACCCAGUUCUAUGAAAACAUGUAUAACAUAGAAGCAAAGCACUCAUGCUAAAGAUCGCUUCUGCUGAUCCUUGCUGCCAAGAUCUCCCUUACGGUCCUCAGCGUCUCUUCCCUUGACCAGGUUCUUCCUGUCUUCUUGGGCUGCUUUCUCUGUAUUAUUUUUCUCUUCUUCUUCCAGCUUAUGGAAACCAUUCCUACCACAAUUUUCUCUUCUAAAUUUGGUUUGAUAAAACCAAAUACUUUUCAUUGUUUCACCUGCAGUGAUCUUUUUCUUAGACUUUUGCAUUUUGCAUUCUUUUAGUUUUAGUAUCUGUACUGGCAUUUCUUAUAUAGAGGUCCUGUUCACACCAUGCCCACAUUCUACAGUGGAUUAUACACUUUGAAUAUCAAGCUCCAGCUAUAUGAGGUAGUUUGGGAUUAUUGAAAGGACACCAAGAGGCAGAAUGGCCAUGUAAGUUAUUGUUCAAGUCAGGAUACUUUUGAGAGUUAAAAAAGGCAAGUUAACAACAUCACACCACGGAUGUAACUGGGACAAUUCCAGCCAAGAACUGAGAUGGUCCUUUCUUUCCUCCUCUCCCACCCCAUUCUCCUCCUUGUCCUCCUUCUUCUUCCUCCUCUUCCCCAUCCUCCUCUACUGCCUGUUCAUAGGGGAAAUAUACGUCUGUCUGUCUGUCUAUCUAUCUAUCUAUCUAUCUUUCUAUCUAUUAUCUAUCCAUCUCCCAAAUGCAAACACUGAAUCACUAGUCAAUAAGUCUCAUUAUAAAUGUUUGAUGCUAGCCCAAUGCUGGGCUCACUUUCUAAACUCCUAGGUAAUUCCACAACAGAAAGAAAUAAGAUUUCAGGUAUUAUUUUAUGUUUCUUAUAAUAUUAUCAGUAUAGGAUACUAGUUAAACUGUGGAGACACAGAGACAAAUGGAGACUAGUCUGAAUAACCUGGAGACAGUCCUCUCUCACAGCAAAGUAAAAUCUGGUUUGGUGGUUCUGCUUUGCAAAGUUAUGACGGGCUCAAGCUCUUCCUACCUUUUUGCCUCACUCUCCUGACCUGUUGUCCUCUCCACAUAGCCCCAGAUGACUCACCAUCAUAUCCACAUUCUAGCCAGUGGGAAGGGGAAAUGGAGUUGGUAAAAGCAUGUUCCUCUUUCUCUUGUGCACUGCAACUCUGCACAGUCCAUCUGUUCUUACCCCAUUGGCCAGAAUGCAGUCACCUUGCUUCUACUGGCUGCAAGGAAGGAUGGGGAUUGUAGUUUUUCCCAUGAGAACUCAUAUACCCAGACUAAAAUUGGUAACUGUAUUAUCAAGAGAGAGUGGGAGCAACUUGGGGACAUUGACAGUUUCUGUCACACUUAGCAAUAUGAUGUACUCAUAGAGGGAUACACAAUUCUUGCUGUUGUUGCCUAUUGAUAACUUCACUGUGUAUUUUCUGGUCUUCAGUUUACCAUAUUGUGAUAUAUACUGUGUACAUGUAUAGGGACUUCAUUACUUUCACUCAAAAGCUCCAAUAAAGAAUCAUGCAGUCUAGGUGCAGUGGCUCACACUUGUAAUCCCAACACUUUGGGAGGUCAAGGCAGGAGGAUCGCUUGAGGCCAGGAGUUUGAGACCAGCCUGGGCAACAUAGGGAGACCCAAUCUUUACAGAAAAUAAUAAUAAAAAGAAUCAUGCAAAUCUCUAAUUGUGGAAGUGUUAUUUUAGCAAACUACAUGAAAAGCUUACGGGUUAUACCAUUCAUUUCCUUACCAUGACAUUUUAUUUAAUUUAACUACAAAAUCUCAAAGAGUCUAAUACUUUCUGAUGCUCUUUUCAUUUUGUGCCUUUCACAUUAUAAUUUAUAGCUUAAAGCCACCUUUCUCAAAGUCUAAAAAUCUGUUAGUCAAUUUUUCCCUUUUUAUAACCUUUCCAUAUAUUCUGUCAUAUUAAAGAGAUGAUGAAGCCCAUUAUGGCCAUUAGAAUUCUGAUGCAAUUAAGUUUUAUUCCACUAUAAGUGACAGGUACUUGAUUCCUUCUUGGAAUGGGAUAAUUUUCUACAGGCCUGCAACUCUUACACCCUCGUUAAUUUGCAAGGCUGUUUUAGAAAAUAUGUUGUCAGUGCUGAAUGAGGUACAUCUCUAACUUUGAACAAAUCAUUGUCUUAAUGUUCUUCAGGUUAUAACAUCCAUUUAAAGAAAAACCUCACCAUUGUCCCCAGGAGAGUCAAUAAAAAUGCUUCUGUGCUUUGUUUGUGGACACUUAAAUAAUAGGAGAGCUCCCCCUACUGAUUGACGUUAGGGAAUUAUGGAGGAGGGGCUAAUCUCAGGCCUUUCGCUCUUGUUAAUUUCUCUAAUGCUCAUGCACAGACCAAGAUGAAAAUCAAAAGCAAGCCUGUUUGACACUGGCUUUUGAAAUGCUUAAAAACAUCAGCAUUUGUCAAGUGGAAAGAUUUUCAUUUCAAAGUUCUAACAGGUUAUUAUUAUUCCAAGCAAUGGAGAGUUAAAAAAGGUUGAACAACUAUAAUAAUGGUGGCAUCUAAGUGUGGGGAGUGAUCAGGUGUUAUUGUUUGUUUGCAUAAAAUGAUAUCACCUAGCUUUGUGUUGGGUUUGUUUAAGAAAUGUAGGCUAAUUAGGCCAUACAAGUAACUUUGUUUUCUGAAAAUUAAUUAAGCUUUUGUGGCCUUACCAGGUUACAGGGCCAGGCUCACCUCCCACACAGUUGCUCUGGAGCUAUGUAGGAGGCAAGCCUGUCUCACGCUGAACUGCCAGGUGAUGCCGUCACGGGAAG